GAGAAGGUACUUUAGGCAGCAGCUGAUUUCGCUGGUCUCGCGGCGGAACUUGCGCACAGCAGCUGGCAUUACUCCAAUUUCAACAAUAAUAAAUAUGGCCUAAAAGAAACAAAAACCAUCUUUCCACAGAGAUCCCUCCCCCAUCAGUUGGGGAGACUUCUUUUGACCGUCCCGUUUAUACAGGUAAACGCCACCGCCUAUGUGUCAAGUGAAAUUUCAAGAUAGUUGUUGGAAGCUGUUUAAAACAAUAUAAAUGUGAAUUUUCGUCUGUUUAUGAAAAUGAACAAUGAUUUCCGAUCCAAUUGCUAUCGAUAUACGAUAGCUUUAUCACCUACCGUCCAGAAAGUCACUUCUUAGUAACUUCUGAACUAUAGAACAACGAUAGAACACAUUUUGCCCUCGAUAAAUGAAGGUCGCGAACAUUUGCCGUUACUUUAUUUCAAAAAAUUCCUCGGGUCCCCCUUAUGAACCACGCUAUUAUUUUCGCCCGAGCGUCAUUUCGUUUCGCGAUUUGUCUGUGCUCAGUGCGGUUUUGUAUCAAAUUUGUGUGUUUACAAAAUAUGGAAUAUUCAAUACUAUAUUGUAUAACAUAUUAAAAUGUCCAUCUCAACAAAAGGUGCGAAAUUACGAGCUUGGAGCGAAGCUGUACGAUUAUUUUAAGCUAUUUACGGACAAGCUAGCUGUGGACAUUACUUUGCGUGUAACUGCGCAGAAACACAGCAUCCAAAGAUUCUCUACAUAUUUGCUUAUUAAAGGUAAUGCCUUCAAGUUUAUUUUUAUUUUGAGUUAAGGCUAGUACUCACAUCGAUAAAAACCGCGAGCUAACCAUAGGAGUGAGCGAGAGGCAAACACGCAGCUAACACUUUUCGUCGGGACUGUUUUUCAACGCGGUACUCAGAUGAGCUAAGGAAAUACCAGAUAAAAUACCUGAUUUGUUGAGUGAAUUUCGAUGAAUGCAGUUAGCCGCGGCCCAAAGAAUAAGAAAUUUAAUAUUUGGCGGUGUUCGUGUAAAAGCAUUAUGGAAUUAAAAAAUUAAAAAUGGAAGGAAGGCUCCAAAGAAAGCCGCAGACGGUCAGUGCAGAUAAAAAGGACGUUUAAUCAAAUCUGUUGCCCGUUAUUGUGGGACUUCACCGACAGGAUACAUUAUUACAACACGGCAAAUCCGCGGAAUAGUUAAAGUACUGGAGGAGAUCAACCAGAGAAUUUCAGUGUCCGUCCUCGCAAAGAAACAGAACCACCAGAACAAUCUCCGACGAGCUCUCCAUUGGGGAACCACAGAACUCCACAUCCACCUGAUACUUGGCAGAUAAAGCGGAGAUGGAUGACGCUCUGGCCUAUAUAAGGGGGAGGAAAAAAGGCGCCUGCUAAGGAACAGCUGGAGGAGCCAUUACCACCCAUUGCCAGGGUGCUGGGCGACUUCCUGCAGCAUCAGUCGGAACAACCCCGUUCGCAAUCCGGCUCCCAUUUCCUCAAGGUCCAAUAGUCCUUUUGGGAUUCGGAACAAGGCUGCAGAGGGCGCGGGGUAGGUGGAGAGGCAUCCGUGGGACGAGAAGGAAGCCUUAUAGUACUUACUUACAUAAAUAAAAACA